UUUUCAGGGGUAAGUGAGUGAUUUCAGUGGUGGAAGUACGGAUAGAACCGAGAGAGCCAAGUUUUAGGACUGCGGUAAACUAACGAUGCUAGAGGCAGGGAUAACAUGGACUGCGAAUUUUUUGGUGAGAGAAAGAGAGAUGGAAAUGAAAACUGCUACUGGAUAAGAAGACUGGGAACUUACAAAGGGAAACGAACGAAGUGAAGUUAAACCUCAGCUAAACGUGAGUUUUCAAUUUGUUGUUUUGCCAGUAAAUCAAAGAAAUU